rnacentral:lncRNA from 1 species
AUUACCCACCAACUCCACGAGGAGGUUCAAAAGAGGAUGUUUUGGAGCAGCAAAAGGGGUACUCCAAAACUCCAGCCCCAUUUGCACUACAGCUCCAUGGAGUUUUGGAGUUGACGUGUUUGGCUGGAUUUUUUGCUGGAGUCGCUAGAGUUAUGGAGUGGAGCCGUGCCAAACACGCCCUAUAUUAGCUGCCUGUUGGUACUGUGAAAGAUUGGGAUAAAAAUAUGGACACCGUAACCCUUUGCUUAUCACAACACUCCCCUAAGGCACCUAUCCACUAUAAAAAGACCCCUAUCCUCCAUUCACCACCCACAACACAC